GCUUCGUUGGCGCAGCUGGCAGCGCGUAAGUCUCAUAAUCUUAAGGUCGUGAGUUCGAUCCUCACACGGAGCA
rnacentral:tRNA from 1 species